AGAGUUUGAUCCUGGCUCAGAUUGAACGCUGGCGGCAUGCCUUACACAUGCAAGUCGAACGGCAGCACGGGAGCAAUCCUGGUGGCAAGGGGCGAACGGGUGAGUAAUAUAUCCGAACGUGCCCAGUCCAGGGGGAUAACCUACAGAAAUUUACGCUAAUACCGCAUACGAUCUAAGGAUGAAAGCGGGGGAUCGCAAGACCUCCCGCGAUUGGAGCGGCUGAUAUCAGAUUAGGUUGUUUGUGAGGUAAAAGCUCACCAAGCCGACCAUCUGUAGCUGGUUUGAGAGAACGACCAGCCACCCUGGGACUGAGACACCGCCCAGACUCCUACGGGAGGCACCAGUGGGUAAUUUUAAAAAAUGAGCCAAAGCCUGAUCCAGCCAUGCCGCGUGCAGGAAGAAGGCCUUCCGGUUGUAAACUGCUUUUGUACGGAACGAAACGGUCUGCCCUAAUACGGUGGGCUAAUGACGGUACCCGUAAGAAUAAGCACCGGCUAACUACGUGCCAGCAGCCGCG
rnacentral:rRNA from 1 species